rnacentral:rRNA from 1 species
UCGAGAAUACUUCACAAUGGGGGCAACCCUGAUGGUGCAACGCCGCGUGGAGGAUGACGGUCUUCGGAUUGUAAACUCCUGUCAUCUGGGAGUAAGACCUGGUCGUUAAUAGCGAACAGGGUUGAUAGUACCAGAAGAGGAAGGGACGGCUAACUUCGUGCCAGCAGCCGCGGUAAUACGAAGGUCCCAAGCGUUGUUCGGAAUCACUGGGCGUAAAGGGAGCGUAGGCGGCGUAGUAAGUCAGAUGUGAAAUCCCGGGGCUCAACCCCGGAACUGCAUCCGAUACUGCUAUGCUAGAGUAAUGGAGAGGUAGCUGGAAUUCUUGGUGUAGCAGUGAAAUGCGUAGAGAUCAAGAGGAACACUCGUGGCGAAAGCGAGCUACUGGACAUUUACUGACGCUGAGGCUCGAAGGCUAGGGUAGCGAAAG